UUAAAUUGAAGAGUUUGAUCAUGGCUCAGAUUGAACGCUGGCGGCAGGCCUAACACAUGCAAGUCGAACGGUAACAGGAAUCAGCUUGCUGAUUCGCUGACGAGUGGCGGACGGGUGAGUAAUGUCUGGGAAACU
rnacentral:rRNA from 1 species